rnacentral:rRNA from 1 species
GACGAACGCUGGCGGCGUGCAUAAUACAUGCAAGUAGAACGCAGUUGCGAACGGGUGAGUAACGCGUAGGUAACUGCCUCAUAGCGGGGGAUAACUAUUGGAAACGAUAGCUAAUACCGCAUACUGUGCGAUGGACCUGCGUUGUAUUAGCUAGUUGGUGAGGUAAAGGUUCACCAAGGCGACGAUACAUAGCCGACCUGAGAGGGGGAUCGGACAAAAUGGGACUUAGAAACGGCCCAGACUCCGACGGGAGGCAGCAGUAGGGAAUCUAAGGAAAGGGACGUAAGUAUGACCGAGCAACGCCGAGUGAGUGAAGAAGGGUUUAGGAUCGUAAAGAUCUGUUAUUAGAGAAGCAGUAACUAAAAAGAAAGGGACGGCUAACGACGUGCCAGCAGCCGCGGUAAUAG